GCCCCUGUAGCUCAGAGGAUAGAGCAGCGGUUUCCUAAACCGUUUGUCGCAGGUUCGAGUCCUGCCAGGGGCG
rnacentral:tRNA from 1 species